GCGGUGGAGCAUGUGGUUUAAUUCGAUGCAACGCGAAGACCUUACCUGGUCUUGACAUCCACAGAACUUUCCAGAGAUGGAUUGGUGCCUUCGGGAACUGUGAGACAGGUGCUGCAUGGCUGUCGUCAGCUCGUGUUGUGAAAUGUUGGGUUAAGUCCCGCAACGAGCGCAACCCUUAUCCUUUGUUGCCAGCGGUCCGGCCGGGAACUCAAAGGAGACUGCCAGUGAUAAACUGGAGGAAGGUGGGAUGACGUCAAGUCAUCAUGGCCCUUACGACCAGGGCUACACACGUGCUACAAUGGCGCAUACAAAGAGAAGCGACCUCGCGAGAGCAAGCGGACCUCAUAAAGUGCGUCGUAGUCCGGAUUGGAGUCUGCAACUCGACUCCAUGAAGUCGGAAUCGCUAGUAAUCGUGGAUCAGCAUGCCGCGGUGAAUACGUUCCCGGGUCUU
rnacentral:rRNA from 1 species